rnacentral:rRNA from 1 species
GGAAUAUUGGUCAAUGGGCGAGAGCCUGAACCAGCCAUGCCGCGUGCAGGAAGACGGCCUUCCGGGUUGUAAACUGCUUUUAUACAGGAACAAAUAGUCCAUGCGUGGAAAGUUGAGUGUACUGUAUGAAUAAGCACCGGCUAACUCCGUUCCAGCAGCCGCGGUAAUACGGAGGGUGCACGCGUUGUCCGGAUUUAUUGGGUUUAAAGGGUGCGUAGGUGGUCGAUUAAGUCAGUGGUGAAAUCCCGCAGCUCAACUGUGGAACUGCCAUUGAUACUGGUUGACUUGAGUACAGAUGAGGUAGGCGGAAUUUAUGGUGUAGCGGUGAAAUGCAUAGAUACCAUAAAGAACACCGAUAGCGAAGGCAGCUUACUAAACUGUAACUGACACUGAGGCACGAAAGCGUGGGGGGCG